rfam:Phlebia centrifuga strain FBCC195 PHLCENscaffold_1252, whole genome shotgun sequence.
GCCGUCGUAGCCCAAUGGUAGGGCGUCGCUUUCCUAUGCUGGAUUGCAGGCGAAGGUUGCGGGUUCGAGUCCCGUCGUCGGUA